UACGAAGGGGGCUAGCGUUGCUCGGAAUCACUGGGCGUAAAGGGUGCGUAGGUGGCGCCGUAAGUCAGGUGUGAAAUCUCGGGGCUCAACCCCGAAACUGCACUUGAUACUGCGGUGCUCGAGUACUGGAGAGGAGAUUGGAAUUUACGGUGUAGCAGUGAAAUGCGUAGAUAUCGUAAGGAAGACCAGUGGCGAAGGCGAAUCUCUGGACAGUUACUGACACUGAGGCACGAAGGCCAGGGGAGCAAACGGG
rnacentral:rRNA from 1 species